UCUCUGGGGCUGCUAUAACAAAGUACCAAAGCUUUUUACUUCAUUUCAUGAAGUACAUACUUUUGUUUCCUUUACAAUACUUAAAAAAUCCAAUGUUUUAAAACUCAUUGAAUCAUUGGUAAUAAGGUUAUUACCCGAGGGCAACUUAUUUCGAAUAGUUAAUUGUGGCAAAGCUGGAGAGAGUUAUUUGUCUAUGAAGAGAGAUGCCUUCGAUCACGAUGUUAUGAAAACUGGCUUGAAUCCACAUUACGCAUGGAAAAAACUACCAAAACUCCUAUGCAGCCAGUCCGUUUGCUGAAUUUGAACCCAAGUAGAACUCGACAGCGUUUUCUGACUUUACCACUGCGAUCCUGGCAAGCCGUAUAUUAUUGAGCAAAUAAAAUUUUUAAAUAAUCAUUUUAACUGAA